rnacentral:lncRNA from 1 species
UAAGAGAGGUAGAAACAGGGGUUCCAAUAGUCCAUAUCUAUGUGUUUUCUGAUUUGUCGUUGUGUUUUCUCUUUUUGUGUUGUGCUUUCUGAUUUGCCGUUGUGAUUUGCACCUCAGGGCCACCGUAGUCUUCACCUCUUUGAAAUUUAACUCUUAAAUAGAAAUCACUAUUAAAUUAGUUUAUUUUCACAGAAAUGAAAGAAAUUCUGCAGCCAGCCACAGACUGUGGACCCUGAGGCAUUUUUAAAAUGGCUACUGCAGCAUGUCGUCUUCUCGGCCGAGGGAUUGUGAAUGUGAUGAUUAUGAAUAUAAAUGGAGCUCAACUUCUUUCAUCUCACUCUUUACUGUAUUCUUUGCUACAGCGGUUCCCAACCUGGAGCCCGGGGCCCCCACUAGGGGUCGCCAAAGCUUCAUAGGCUGUCGCAACUUAAACAGGGUGUGCCAGCGAGUCGUGGGACGUGGACGCCGCCACAGAAGGACUUCAGUCUGUCCAGGCGUCACUUCCAGAGACAGUCCUGGUUUCUGGAUCCCCCCUCCCCUCCACAAUGAAGUCUUCUUUGUGGAGGGGAGGGGCCACCCGGUUGUUGUGAUGUGUGUUGCCAGUGUAAACGCUCAAUAAAAUUAUUUUAAAAUCCAUAACCCCCUGCUUCCAUCUCUCCGG